UCUCCCUUCACUGAUUCUCUUUUCGGACUCAGCCCGCCUGCACCCAGGUGAAAUAAACAGCGUUGUUGCUCACACAAAGCCUGUUUGGUGGUCUCUUCACACAGACGCGUGUAAAAUUUGAUGCCAUGACUCGGAUUGGGGGACCUCCCUUGGGAAAUCAAUACCCUGUCCUCCUGCUCUUUGCUCCGUGAGAAAGAUCCACCUACGACCUCAGGUCCUCAGACUGACCAGCCCAAGGAACAUCUCACCAAUUUCAAAUCUGCCACUCCCAGAGCCCCUGGAACGCUGGCCCAACGCUCUCGGACUGACUCCUUCCCAGAUCUUCUCGGCUUAGCAGCUGAAGACUGACGCUGCCUGAUUGCCUCAGAAGCCCCCUAGACAACCACAGAUGCCGAUCUUCAGGUAACUCUCACAGUGGUAGGUAUAUGCCCAGAUGGCCUGAAGUAACUGAAGAAUCACAAAAGAAGUGAAAAUGGCCUGUUCCUGCCUUAACUGAAGACAUUCCACCACAAAAGAAGUGAAAAUGGCCAGUCCUUGCCUUAACUGAUGACAUUACCUUGUAAAAUUCCUUUUCCUGGCUCAUCCUGGCUCAAAAAGCUCCCCCACUGAGCACCUUGUGACCCCCACCCCUGCCUGCCAGAGAACAACCCCUUUUGACUGUAAUUUUCCUUUACCUACCCAAAUCCUAUAAAACCCAAAUCCCCCACCUUUAUCUCCCUUCGCUGACUCUCUUUUCAGACUCAGCCCGCCUGCACCCAGGUGAAAUAAACAGCCGUGUUGCUGACACAAAGCCUGUUUGGUGGUCUCUUCACACAGACGCGCAUGAAACUAACCCUGAUAAAUCAAUGCCUAAGUGGUCUUCAUACCACGUGAAGCUCCUUUUGGACCACUCAACUGUCUAAAUCAUGAGGUAGUUGGGAUGAGGAAUUAUAAUUUAGUCCUAUAGUUAAAUAAAUUAAUCUCUUGAACAUAAGGAUUUUCCUUACAUCAUUCUUUCAAGUAAAGUUUUAUUUGUAUUUUUAUCUAA